ensembl:lncRNA
CGUCCCCACCCCACCCCACCUUCACCUCCGGCGGCGGGCCGAGAGAUAUGCGUCGGCGCCAUGGGUUUCAUGGAGUUCUACCUGGAGAUCGACCCCGUCACCCUGAACCUCAUCAUUCUGGUGGCCAGCUACGUCAUCCUCCUGCUGGUCUUCCUCAUCUCCUGCAUCCUGUACGACUGCCGGGGCAAGGACCCCUCCAAGGAGUACGCGCCCGAUGACACGCCGGCACCGGCCGCCGCCUCCGCCGCCUCCUCCGCCGGCCCCCCCGGGUCGGCCACGGGGGCCUCAGGGACCCACUCCGGCCAGUCGCCCAUUCGACUGGUGGUGAUGCAGAACUCGCCAACCUCCACCCGAUACGAGCCCACAGAGAUGGUGCCCGGGCACGCCGAACACCCCACGCCGGACCUCCACCGGGAGCGGGAGAGGGAGCGGGAGAGGGAGCGGGAGAGGGAGCGGGAGAGGGAGAAGAGGAGUACCCUUGUCUGAGGGUUCAGUGAGGGAGAAGGAGGCUGAGGUGGAGGAGACGUCUGGGUUAUUUUGGUGGCACUUGCUGCUCCUGUCACUCUGUACAGUAUUGUUUUUAUAGACCUGUACAUAUUUGUAUAUAUUUUGAACAACAACAAAAAAAUAACGAUUUAUGGAAUACUUCCUGUGAACGCUGACGCCCAAGUUGCAGAGGGAAACAGGAUAACUCUGGGAUGAAAAAAAAGACCAACAGUAAAGUACAUCCCGCACCACCUUCUGGCUCAAGUUACCAGAACCUUCCCACCUGUCUUCCUCAGCAUGAGGCAGCCCUGGUCACAUCGGACCUGGCUCAGACAACACCAGAACAGAAGUAUUCUAUUCAGAUCAAGUGAUGUAUGGCGAAGUACUGUUGAAACAAAACAUUUCAACCGUAAACGCACUCUCCAGUCAAACAAGUCGGAACGAUCCCUCCAAAGACUCAAGGAGACAGGAUUUGCGACAGCUUCUUAGACAUAAUUGGAACUGCUACAUUUGAGAUGAACGUGUAUAAAUGGACGGAAGAGGCAACGCAACCCCAUAGCCUUUCUUUUGCCAACUCUCACUUACCUUUAUUUCUUCUGGCUUUUAUGAUUCUGUGUUUGUUUUUACUUAUUCAAAUGUUUUAAAUGUUUUCCGAACUUUGGUGUCCUACAAUUGGAUGAGUGCCAGCUAUUAUUUUAUAUAUACUGUAUACAUAUCAUACAUUAGUUAUAUAUUAGACAAUCUAACAAUAUAUCAAUGAUUAAAUACGUUUAUAAUAAUAUUGGCUGAAAAGAGAUUGGGAAAUAAAUUCCCCAUUUCAUCUCUUCUUGAUGCAAUUAUACAUGAUGAAACAUCGACAACGACAAUGUUGUACAACAUGUUCUAAAUUUCCUUUAUAAUAACUAUUUAUUUGUUGUACUUCCUCCAGUCACCUCCGGAAGGAUGUUUAUGUCACUCCUGGAAUCGAAUACAUGCUCUAAGGAAUGGUGGCAAGUAAACGUAUCUAUCCCCUGUCUUAGAUAAUUCCGUACAUUGUUGAAUUAAAAAUGAAAAAGAACCACCCAAGCUCCAUGUUUAAGAAAUAAACAGCGCCUGCAUCGAUGUCAGCCAUGGCCUGCUCCCAGGAGACCUUCCAGGCCGUCAACAGGGCCCCGGCAGCUGAUUGGCCCUGACACGGUCCAGGGAGAUGAAACAACACCAGGGCCUUUAGCGUGUGCUCGUGCAGCAACAGAUUCAGCAACGCCAAAUCCGCUUAGAUAAAUAAAACCCGCUAAAAAAAACGACAACCAAAAAAACGAAUGGGCCGGGCGGCUCAGUCAGUAGCCGUCAUGCCAGCCAACUGAAGGGACCAAUGGUAGGGGCUUGCACGUAUUACGCAGAUAUUCUCCCUGCCAUAUAUCAUGUUUGUGGGAUUACAGCACUACGUAUUAUCAGUUUUUUUGGUGGUGUGUGUGUCUCUUUGCUGGAGAGGGGUGGGGGGUUAUAUAAACUCCACCAGGUUGUUGACAGACUGGCAUUUGUGCUCGCUGCUUAUCACCAAUGCCGCGUACGCACCUGACACCGAAGACUCGAGUGAGAACUUUGAGGCGCCAUGGAGGCCAACAUGGUGGCUGAGCGGCUGGGAUGUCGGACAUUCCACCGAGGAAGAUCCAUGGCCUUGCAUAGCUCAGUAGGUAAGGCAUGGCAAUAACAAUGCCAAUGUAAGGGCCCGCUUUCAGACCUCGUCUGAGCUAAAAAUAUACCCAUUGGUGGACGUGAGUGGAGCUUUACUUGAAAGCAGCAGCUGAACAAAAAAUCUGUAUCCCACCACUAGGUUAUAGCCUAGAUUUUUGGCUCCUAAAUUGAAUCAUACGUUUACAGACAUUAGGUGGUUGAAGAGUAUUUGAGAAGGUAUAAGAUAAACUCACCCGCCACUUCGUACAGCUGACCUCACUCCCUCUCCAGCCCUAAGUCUGCGCCCUGAUUUUACCGCCUUGGCUCUCCACCACAGCCUCAUUUAUUUAAAAGCGGAAAUCCCUGCUUAAUGAUCCAAUGCAAUAGUACCAUUCUAUUGACUCUUUGUAUCAGAAAAAUAUUAAAUACAUUUGAACAGCAAGAUUAUUGCAGAGAAAAAAUUAUCCAACGCAAGGAUAAUUUGCCAACACGGUUUCAGAGACUUCAAAAAGUUUUGUGGCCAAGGUAUCAAUUGCAUUCUAUGCUAUUCAUAUCACCAGCAAUCUUGAUUUAAAAUCUUCUUACACAUGUAUAGUAUAAAGUCGCCAUGUAUAAGAUUGAGUCCACAGUUAGGACCUGGGUCCACAGAAGCGUCCUUUUUCAGGGUGCUCCCCCUUUGUUGUGCAUCCGCUCCCAGCGCUUCCAGUUGAAAAUAUCUAAACUUUUCCGAAAACCGUUGGUGUGGUCACAGCCGCUCCUUUUCUGGCAACCAAUCAUACUCAGAUGGGGGCAGGACUCGUCACUCUCAUAAACAAUAAAAUUGACG